rnacentral:rRNA from 1 species
UGAGGAAUAUUGGUCAAUGGGCGAGAGCCUGAACCAGCCAAAUCGCGUGAAGGAAGAAUGUAUUAUGUAUUGUAAACUUCUUUUGUCGGGGAAUAAAAAGGGGCUCGUGAGCCCUGUUGCAUGUACCCGACGAAUAAGCAUCGGCUAACUCCGUGCCAGCAGCCGCGGUAAUACGGAGGAUGCGAGCGUUAUCCGGAUUUAUUGGGUUUAAAGGGUGCGUAGGCGGCAUGUUAAGUCAGUGGUGAAAGUUCAAGGCUCAACCUUGGAAUUGCCAUUGAAACUGGCAAGCUUGAGUACAGUAGAGGUAGGCGGAAUUCGUGGUGUAGCGGUGAAAUGCUUAGAUAUCACGAAGAACUCCAAUUGCGAAGGCAGCUUACCGGAGUGUAACUGACGCUGAGGCACGAAAGUGUGGGGAUCAAACA